CUUCCAGUUAUCUUUUCUCCAUUGCUAAACUGGAUUGCUCAGGACAGGUAUUUUAUACCCACACACCAAAGAAACUUUUUGAAGUUUGGGGAGAUGCAUCACUGCGGACCCUCUCGUAUUGCAAAAAAAGAAGAGAGCCUUGGAUCUACCAGUUCAAGCAAACAUUUCAUCUGACAGCCUUGGAGAUCCCACUUUGGAGAUGUCACUUUAACAACUCAGCCAGCUUUCAUUUCUUCACUGCC